CGUAGGGUGCGAGCGUUAAUCGGAAUUACUGGGCGUAAAGCGUGCACAGGCGGUUUUGUAAGACAGGCGUGAAAUCCCCGGGCUCAACCUGGGAACUGCGCUUGUGACUGCAAGGCUAGAGUACGGCAGAGGGGGGUGGAAUUCCACGUGUAGCAGUGAAAUGCGUAGAGAUGUGGAGGAACACCAAUGGCGAAGGCAGCCCCCUGGGUCGAUACUGACGCUCAUGCACGAAAGCGUGGGUAGCAAACAGGAUUAGAUACCCUGGUAGUCCACGCCCUAAACGAUGUCAACUAGGUGUUGGGUGGGUAAAACCAUUUAGUACCGGAGCUAACGCGUGAAGUUGACCGCCUGGGGAGUACGGCCGCAAGGUUA
rnacentral:rRNA from 1 species